AGAGUUUGAUCAUGGCUCAGAUUGAACGCUGGCGGCAGGCUUAACACAUGCAAGUCGAACGGUAACAGGAGAAAGCUUGCUUUCUUGCUGACGAGUGGCGGACGGGUGAGUAAUGCUUGGGAAUCUGGCUUAUGGAGGGGGAUAACGACGGGAAACUGUCGCUAAUACCGCGUAGAGUCGAGAGACGAAAGUGCGGGACCGCAAGGCCGCAUGCCAUAGGAUGAGCCCAAGUGGGAUUAGGUAGUUGGUGGGGUAAUGGCCUACCAAGCCGACGAUCUCUAGCUGGUCUGAGAGGAUGACCAGCCACACCGGGACUGAGACACGGCCCGGACUCCUACGGGAGGCAGCAGUGGGGAAUAUUGCGCAAUGGGGGCAACCCUGACGCAGCCAUGCCGCGUGAAUGAAGAAGGCCUUCGGGUUGUAAAGUUCUUUCGGUGACGAGGAAGGUUGUUGUGUUAAUAGCCCAACAAAUUGACGUUAAUCACAGAAGAAGCACCGGCUAACUCCGUGCCAGCAGCCGCGGUAAUACGGAGGGUGCGAGCGUUAAUCGGAAUAACUGGGCGUAAAGGGCACGCAGGCGGUGACUUAAGUGAGGUGUGAAAGCCCCGGGCUUAACCUGGGAAUUGCAUUUCAUACUGGGUCGCUAGAGUACUUUAGGGAGGGGUAGAAUUCCACGUGUAGCGGUGAAAUGCGUAGAGAUGUGGAGGAAUACCGAAGGCGAAGGCAGCCCCUUGGGAAUGUACUGACGCUCAUGUGCGAAAGCGUGGGGAGCAAACAGGAUUAGAUACCCUGGUAGUCCACGCUGUAAACG
rnacentral:rRNA from 1 species